GAUGAACGCUGGCGGCGUGCUUAACACAUGCAAGUCGAACGGAAAGGCUCCUGCUUGCAGGGGUACUCGAGUGGCGAACGGGUGAGAAACACGUGGGUGAUCUGCCCUGCACUUCGGGAUAAGCCUAGGAAACUGGGUCUAAUACCGGAUAGGACGAUGGUUUGGAUGCCAUUGUGGAAAGUUUUUCGGUGUGGGAUGAGCUCGCGGCCUAUCAGCUUGUUGGUGGGGUAAUGGCCUACCAAGGCGUCGACUGGUAGCCGGCCUGAGAGGUUGUACGGCCACAUUGGGACUAAGGUACGGCCCAGACUCCUACGGGAGACAGUAGUGGGGAAUAUUGCACAAUGGGCGCAAGCCUGAUGCAGCGACGCCGCGUGGGGGAUGACGGCCUUCGGGUUGUAAACUCCUUUCGCUAGGGACGAAGCGCAAGUGACGGUACCUGGAGAAGAAGCACCGGCUAACUACGUG
rnacentral:rRNA from 1 species